rnacentral:rRNA from 1 species
UAGACCCGUUUUGAGAUGCACCAGGCUUCGGGGGUCGCCCGCUUUCAUGGUGUGACGGGCGGUGUGUACAAGGCCCGGAAACGUAUUCACCCCGGCGUUGCUGAUCCGCAAUUACUAGCAACUCCACCUUCAUGGAGGCAAGUUUCAACCUCCAUCCAAACCAAGACCGGCUUUUUGGAAUUCGCUCCACCUCCCGGCAUCACAACCCUUUGAACCGGCCAAUGUAACACGUGUGUACCCCUGGACAUUAGGUGCAUGAUGACUUGACGUCAUCCC